rnacentral:rRNA from 1 species
GUGGGGAAUAUUGGACAAUGGGCGAAAGCCUGAUCCAGCCAUGCCGCGUGUGUGAAGAAGGUCUUCGGAUUGUAAAGCACUUUAAGUUGGGAGGAAGGGCAGUAAGUUAAUACCUUGCUGUUUUGACGUUACCGACAGAAUAAGCACCGGCUAACUUCGUGCCAGCAGCCGCGGUAAUACGAAGUGUGCAAGCGUUAAUCGGAAUUACUGGGCGUAAAGCGCGCGUAGGUGGUUUUGUAAGUUGGGGGUGAAAUACCCGGGCUCAACCUGGGAACUGCCUCGAAAACUGCAUGACUAGAGUACGGUAGAGGGUAGUGGAAUUUCCUGUGUAGCGGUGAAAUGCGUAGAUAUAGGAAGGAACACCAGUGGCGAAGGCGACUACCUGGACUGAUACUGACACUGAGGUGCGAAAGCGUGGGGAGCAAACAGGAUUAGAAACCCCAGUAGUCC